UGGUGGACUGAUUUGUCUGGUUAAUUCCGAUAACGAACGAGACCUUAUCCUGCUAAAUAGUGACAUGGACCUACAGGUCGGAUUCGCGUAUAGGGAUAGGGUAAGCCCCUAUCUCUUGCGCCAGGAGCCAGCCGUCCUUGGUGUUCACUUCUUAGAGGGACUGUCGGGGUAGCACCCGGAAGGAAGUUUUAGGUAAUAACA
rnacentral:rRNA from 1 species